ACAGUGGGGCUGUGAGUAUGGAAUGGCCUCUGAGUUGGACUAAGGCCUGUGGCUCCUCUGUGACCUCUGAUUUGUGCCCUUUGCCCUUCUAGACUCUAGCCUUGUCACCUCAUCUUGCCCCCUUGGUUUUGGAAGUCCUGAAGAGUUGGUCUGGAGGAGGAGGAGGACAUUGAUGUGCUUGGUGUGUGGCCAGUGGUGAAGAGAUGGCUGCUCCUGUCCCAUGGGCCUGCUGUGCUGUGCUUGCUGCCGCUGCCGCAGUUGUCUACGCCCAGAGACACAGUCCACAGGAGGCACCCCAUGUGCAGUACGAGCGCCUGGGCUCUGACGUGACACUGCCAUGUGGGACAGCAAACUGGGAUGCUGCGGUGACGUGGAGGGUAAAUGGGACAGACCUGGCCCCUGACCUGCUCAACGGCUCUCAGCUGGUGCUCCGUGGCCUGGAACUGGGCCACAGUGGUCUCUAC
rnacentral:lncRNA from 1 species